AGUGAACGCUGGCGGUAGGCCUAACACAUGCAAGUCGAACGGCAGCACAGUAAGAGCUUGCUCCUACGGGUGGCGAGUGGCGGACGGGUGAGGAAUACAUCGGAAUCUACUUUUUCGUGGGGGAUAACGUAGGGAAACUUACGCUAAUACCGCAUACGACCUACGGGUGAAAGAAGGGGAUCUUCGGACCUUGCGCGAUUGAAUGAGCCGAUGUCGGAUUAGCUAGUUGGCGGGGUAAAGGCCCACCAAGGCGACGAUCCGUAGCUGGUCUGAGAGGAUGAUCAGCCACACUGGAACUGAGACACGGUCCAGACUCCUACGGGAGGCAGCAGUGGGGAAUAUUGGACAAUGGGCGCAAGCCUGAUCCAGCCAUACCGCGUGGAUGAAGAAGGCCUUCGGGUUGUAAAGCCCUUUUGUUGGGAAAGAAAAGAAGCAGGUUAAUACCCCGCUGUUCUGACGGUACCCAAAGAAUAAACACCGGCAAACUUCGU
rnacentral:rRNA from 1 species